CACGUAGGCGGAUAUUUAAGUCAGGGGUGAAAUCCCAGAGCUCAACUCUGGAACUGCCUUUGAUACUGGGUAUCUUGAGUAUGGAAGAGGUAAGUGGAAUUCCGAGUGUGGAGGUGAAAUUCGUAGACAUUCGGAGGAACACCAGUGGCGAAGGCGGCUUACUGGUCCAUUGCUGACGCUGAGGUGCGAAAGCGUGGGGAGCAAACA
rnacentral:rRNA from 1 species